UACGUAGGGCGCAAGCGUUAUCCGGAAUUAUUGGGCGUAAAGAGCUCGUAGGCGGUUUGUCGCGUCUGCCGUGAAAGUCCGGGGCUCAACUCCGGAUCUGCGGUGGGUACGGGCAGACUAGAGUGAUGUAGGGGAGACUGGAAUUCCUGGUGUAGCGGUGGAUUGCGUAGAGAUCGGGAAGAACAUCAGUGGCGAAGGCGGCCUGCUGGGCUGUUGCUGACGCUGAGGCGCGACAGCGUGGGGAGCAAACAGG
rnacentral:rRNA from 1 species